GCUUGCCAUGCUGGCAAGACCAACCAGACGAACGGCAGGAAGUUUCCUCUGCUCCAUUAUUCCUCCUGUUUUACAGGUGCGGUUGGGCCGGCGUUCAGGGAUGUAUCUGCAGCCGCGAAGAGGGCAUUGUCAAUGGAAGUGGUGAAAGUGCCAUUAUUCCCCCUCAGGCAACCUGCAGAGCCCCAGGGGAGGCUGUCCCUGUGGAGCACCCCCACCAUGCUGACCCUGGCCCACCACCAGCAAACCCCGCUCCUCAGCCCAUCCCUCUGGGCGCAGGUCUUCAUGCAUGCACACGGCCAUGCCCACCGCCACAUCACUAAAGGCUCUGCUUAACACUCUCUGAUUGGCUGGAUAUGUGACAGCGCCAAGCAGGCCGGUGACGGUCUCCCCCACCACCCCUGACAGGGUGUGCGGGGGAUGGGCGGGCGGGUGUGCCAGCACCUUUGCCAGUUCUCUUAGUGCCCGAUGCACCACAGAGCGGGCAUCGAAGUACCAUCUGGAGAAGUUUCCUGCAACUGCUGCUUCAUCCAGUUUCCUGCAGAUUCUGAUUCAAUCCCUUCAGACAGAAGAAACUUAAUUAGUGUCUGAAGUUCAUCCAGCCUCUAAAGCUGUGGUCUCAAACUCAGAGCCAUGGAGGGCCGUGUGCAUGUUGGUUUUUAUUCCAGCCUCAGACCUUGAUUAUAUCAUUAAUAAUUUGCUGAAUUAGGGCUGUAGGUCUGCACAUAAUGCAUUAUAAAGCAAAAUGUGUUAUUUGUGUUGUCUAAAUAACAACUGUUGCUUAUAUUCUGUGCUUCAAUGCAGUUAAAUGCAUAUGGCUGCAUGAGUAAUUGGAAUCAAUUAAGGCAGCAUUAAUCGGUUGGAAUUAAAACCUGCAUACACAAGGCCCUCUGUGGCAAUGAGUUUGAGACCACUGCGCUAAAGAGACCAGAUGUAUUUUGACGAGGAAGAGAGAGUGACGUACAGGUCAGCGAAAGCAGCACACUUAACUUCUAGCAUAGCUUCAGUCUUCGAUCUUGUGCUCACUGGGGGACGAACGAUACUCAGUCACAAUAGUACUUUGUGGAGUUUGUACAUGAAAUGAUAGCGUUCCCGUUUUACAGUUGCAAAAGCAAUAGUUUUAAAGUAACCGGGAAUUAUAAAAUGUUAGUAAAGAAAUAAGCUUGCAUAAGGAAUGACAGAUUUGCCUGAGGCUAGUUUUGAACCCGAGCCCCAAUGGUCCCAUAGGCAAGCACGAUACCAACAAGCCACCAACAGAGCAGGUACAAUGGUGUCAAUGGUUUUUUGCAUAAGGAAAUAAAGUUAUAAACACCUA